rnacentral:rRNA from 1 species
CAUUCAGAGCCCUAUGUAGCAAUACAGGGUGAUGGACUGCCUUUUGCAUAAUGAGCCUGCGAGUUGUGGUGUCUGGCAAGGUUAAGCAAACGCGAAGCCGUAGCGAAAGCGAGUCUGAAUAGGGCGCUUAGUCAGAUGCUGCAGACCCGAAACGAAGUGAUCUAUCCAUGAGCAAGUUGAAGCUAGUGUAAGAACUAGUGGAGGACUGAACCCAUAGGCGUUGAAAAGCCCCGGGAUGACUUGUGGAUAGGGGUGAAAGGCCAAUCAAACUUCGUGAUAGCUGGUUCUCUCCGAAAUAUAUUUAGGUAUAGCGUUGUGUCGUAAUAUAAGGGGGUAGAGCACUGAAUGGGCUAGGGCAUACACCAAUGUACCAAACCCUAUCAAACUCCGAAUACCUUAUAUGUAAUCACAGCAGUCAGGCGGCGAGUGAUAAAAUCCGUCGUCAAGAGGGAAACAACCCAGACUACCAGCUAAGGUCCCUAAAUCUUACUUAAGUGGAAAACGAUGUGAAGUUACUUAAACAACCAGGAGGUUGGCUUAGAAGCAGCCAUCCUUUAAAGAAAGCGUAAUAGCUCACUGGUCUAGUGAUUUUGCGCGGAAAAUAUAACGGGGCUAAAGUAAGUACCGAAGCUGUAGACUUAGUUUACUAAGUGGUAGGAGAGCGUUCUAUUUGCGUCGAAGGUAUACCGGUAAGGAGUGCUGGAGCGAAUAGAAGUGAGCAUGCAGGCAUGAGUAGCGAUAAUUAAUGUGAGAAUCAUUAACGCCGUAAACCCAAGGUUUCCUACGCGAUGCUCGUCAUCGUAGGGUUAGUCGGGUCCUAAGUCGAGUCCGAAAGGGGUAGACGAUGGCAAAUUGGUUAAUAUUCCAAUACCAACAUUAGUGUGCGAUGGAAGGACGCUUAGGGCUAAGGGGGCUAGCGGAUGGAAGUGCUAGUCUAAGGUCGUAGGAGGUUGUACAGGCAAAUCCGUAUAACAAUACUCCGAGAACUGAAAGGCUUUUUGAAGUCUUCGGAUGGAUAGAAGAACCCCUGAUGCCGUCGAGCCAAGAAAAGUUUCUAAGUUUAGCUAAUGUUGCCCGUACCGUAAACCGACACAGGUGGGUGGGAUGAGUAUUCUAAGGCGCGUGGAAGAACUCUCUUUAAGGAACUCUGCAAAAUAGCACCGUAUCUUCGGUAUAAGGUGUGGUUAGCUUUGUAUUAGGAUUUACUCCGAAAGCAAGGAAACUUACAACAAAGAGUCCCUCCCGACUGUUUACCAAAAACACAGCACUCUGCUAACUCGUAAGAGGAUGUAUAGGGUGUGACGCCUGCCCGGUGCUCGAAGGUUAAUUGAUGGGGUUAGCAUUAGCGAAGCUCUUGAUCGAAGCCCGAGUAAACGGCGGCCGUAACUAUAACGGUCCUAAGGUAGCGAAAUUCCUUGUCGGUUAAAUACCGACCUGCAUGAAUGGCGUAACGAGAUGGGAGCUGUCUCAAAGAGGGAUCCAGUGAAAUUGUAGUGGAGGUGAAAAUUCCUCCUACCCGCGGCAAGACGGAAAGACCCCGUGGACCUUUACUACAGCUUGACACUGCUACUUGGAUAAGAAUGUGCAGGAUAGGUGGGAGGCUUUGAGUAUAUGACGCCAGUUGUAUAUGAGCCAUUGUUGAGAUACCACUCUUUCUUAUUUGGGUAGCUAACCAGCUUGAGUUAUCCUCAAGUGGGACAAUGUCUGGUGGGUAGUUUGACUGGGGCGGUCGCCUCCCAAAUAAUAACGGAGGCUUACAAAGGUUGGCUCAGAACGGUUGGAAAUCGUUCGUAGAGUAUAAAGGUAUAAGCCAGCUUAACUGCAAGACAUACAAGUCAAGCAGAGACGAAAGUCGGUCUUAGUGAUCCGGUGGUUCUGUGUGGAAGGGCCAUCGCUCAAAGGAUAAAAGGUACCCCGGGGAUAACAGGCUGAUCUCCCCCAAGAGCUCACAUCGACGGGGAGGUUUGGCACCUCGAUGUCGGCUCAUCGCAUCCUGGGGCUGGAGCAGGUCCCAAGGGUAUGGCUGUUCGCCAUUUAAAGCGGUACGCGAGCUGGGUUCAGAACGUCGUGAGACAGUUCGGUCCCUAUCUGCCGUGGGCGUAAGAAGAUUGAAGAGAUUUGACCCUAGUACGAGAGGACCGGGUUGAACAAACCACUGGUGUAGCUGUUGUUCUGCCAAGAGCAUCGCAGCGUAGCUAAGUUUGGAAAGGAUAAACGCUGAAAGCAUCUAAGCGUGAAGCCAACUCUAAGAUGAAUCUUCUCUAAGCUCUCUAGAAGACUACUAGUUUGAUAGGCUGGGUGUGUAAUGGAUGAAAGUCCUUUAGCUGACCAGUACUAAUAGAGCGUUUGGCUUAUCUUUAAUAAAGCAU